UACGUAGGGGGCAAGCGUUGUCCGGAGUUACUGGGCGUAAAGCGCACGCAGGCGGUCGUGCAAGUUUGGGGUGACAGCUUCUGGCUUAACUGGAAGAGGACCUCGAAGACUGCGCGACUUGAGGGGUUCAGAGGGACCGAGAAUUCCGGGUGGAGUGGUGAAAUGCGUAGAUAUCCGGAGGAAUACCCAAGGCGAAGGCAUGGUCCUGGGAACCACCUGACGCUCAGGUGCGAAAGCGAGGGAGCGAACGGG
rnacentral:rRNA from 1 species